UGGGGAAUAUUGCACAAUGGGGGAAACCCUGAUGCAGCGACGCCGCGUGAACGAAGAAGGUAUUCGUAUCUUAAAGUUCUGUCCUAUGGGAAGAUAAUGACAGUACCAUAGAAGAAAGCUCCGGCUAAAUACGUGCCAGCAGCCGCGGUAAUACGUAUGGAGCGAGCGUUGUCCGGAAUUAUUGGGCGUAAAGGGUACGCAGGCGGUUUAAUAAGUCGAAUGUUAAAGAUCGGGGCUCAACCCCGCAAAGCAUUGGAAACUGAUAAACUUGAGUAGUGGAGAGGAAAGUGGAAUUCCUAGUGUAGUGGUGAAAUACGUAGAUAUUAGGAGGAAUACCAGUAGCGAAGGCGACUUUCUGGACACAAACUGACGCUGAGGUACGAAAGCGUGGGGAGCAAACAGG
rnacentral:rRNA from 1 species